rnacentral:tRNA from 1 species
GACUCUGUGGCCGAGUGGUCUAAGGCGCCAGAUUAAGGAGAACACGAGGAGGAACUACGGGAAAAACAACGCGCGCGACGCGAGUCGCGCGCGCGCCCGCUUUCGUACCAUGCGAGAACAAUCGCAACGUAACAUUCUGGUCCGAAAGGGCGUGGGUUCGAACCCCACCGGAGUCA